rnacentral:tRNA from 2 species
AAACAAGAAACCAAAGGUGUUAUGGUUUCGGCCCAUAAAGAGGUACAAUUUACCCUUGUUUU